rfam:Ovis aries breed Texel chromosome 9, whole genome shotgun sequence.
UCCCUGGUGGCCCAGUGGUAAAGAGCCUGCCUGCUAUGCAGGAGACCCAGGUUUGAUUCCUGGAUUGGGAA